UACGAAGGGGGCUAGCGUUGCUCGGAAUGACUGGGCGUAAAGGGCGCGUAGGCGGCUCAUACAGUCAGGCGUGAAAUUCCUGGGCUCAACCUGGGGACUGCGCUUGAGACGUGUGGGCUUGAGUGGGGAAGAGGGUCGUGGAAUUCCCAGUGUAGAGGUGAAAUUCGUAGAUAUUCGCAAGAACACCAGUGGCGAAGGCGGCUCACUGGCCCGGUACUGACGCUGAGGUGCGAAAGCGUGGGGAGCAAACAGG
rnacentral:rRNA from 1 species